GGAAUAUUGGACAAUGGGCGAAAGCCUGAUCCAGCCAUGCCGCGUGUGUGAAGAAGGUCUUCGGAUUGUAAAGCACUUUAAGUUGGGAGGAAGGGCAUUAACCUAAUACGUUAGUGUUUUGACGUUACCGACAGAAUAAGCACCGGCUAACUCUGUGCCAGCAGCCGCGGUAAUACAGAGGGUGCAAGCGUUAAUCGGAAUUACUGGGCGUAAAGCGCGCGUAGGUGGUUUGUUAAGUUGAAUGUGAAAUCCCCGGGCUCAACCUGGGAACUGCAUCCAAAACUGGCAAGCUAGAGUAUGGUAGAGGGUAGUGGAAUUUCCUGUGUAGCGGUGAAAUGCGUAGAUAUAGGAAGGAACACCAGUGGCGAAGGCGACUACCUGGACUGAUACUGACACUGAGGUGCGAAAGCGUGGGGAGCAAACAGGAUUAGAUACCCCAG
rnacentral:rRNA from 1 species